AGAGAGAUUAGUAAACAUUCCGGCUGGAGAGCUGCUUUGACGGAGAAGAUUAGAUUCAACUGGUUUGGUGUGAUGAUUAUUGAUACCGAGAAACUGAUCCAAACCAACCGAGUUCAUUAUCCCUUUACUCUGCCUCGGGUAAUGCGGCGGCAAACCCAGAAAACUCGACGGCUCAAGCUGCGGCGGUGGCGGCAGAGUGGCGGCGUAUGAAACAGAGGUGUUCGUUAACGAAACCGGAGACUUAUCCUCGAAUUUAGGUGAACCCAGAUCUCCGUUAACGCCAUUAGAGGUCACGAAUCUUGAAAGCAACCUAUCGGAGUCGAAACCAAUCUUGUCGUCGUCAACAAAAGCGGCGAGAACAGAGCUCGGAGCUGAUCUAAAACGAAGAAGACCCGACCCGGUGGGAUUCGGGUCGUAGAGAUGAUUAUUUGAAUCCAUUAAUCGAAUCAAUAUGUAAAAAAAAUGCAACGAAAUUUCCUCUGUUUUCUCUUCUUGUAAGCUCUGUCUCGUGACGUUUCAGGAAGAACAAAUUUGUAGAAAACCAAAUCUUAAUAGCUUUCCAACGUCAACCGUUGAUAUGAAUAUAAGCUUUUUCUUCUCCCUUGUUAAGUUCUUGUUUGUGUCACUUUUCCCGGGAAAACAAAACUUGAGCUUGAGAUGUGAGCAGGUGUAGGAUUUGGG